CUUAGAAUGUAGAUAUUUUUUGGAGUGUAUAAUGCUAUUCUUUAAUACUAAUGAUGGAGAUAAUUUGUUUUAUUGUAUCGAUUAUUAAAGGUGUUGUAAUUUAGCGUACGAAGAUUUAAGUUAUGUUUUCAACCUAAAAUUGAUGAAUAGUAUUUUUUAGAAAGUAUAAGAAUAUACAUAAAUCAUUGGAAUGAAUUUAGUAGAAUCGUCAGCUU
rnacentral:sRNA from 1 species